rnacentral:sRNA from 1 species
UACUUCCAGUAUCGGAAAGUCUCUCCUCCUCGACGUGCUUGCACGGGAGAGGAGGAGAGACCUUCCGACACGCCCCCCAAUGAGCAGGGAGCGGCGGGAGCGUCGCGGGAGUGCGAAUUGGGGGAGCAUGUCGAGAGGCGCGAAGCGGCGAAGACAUGCGGAAGUA